GUCUUUAUGAAGAUUUAUAAAGUCUGGCCUGCCCAGUGGAAAUGUCUAAAAGGCCGCGGUAUUUUGACCGUGCAAAGGUAGCAUAAUAAUUAGGUUUUUAAUUGGAAUCUUGAAUGAAAGGUUAAACAAAAGAAAGUCUGUCUAUUAAUAUAUAAAUUGAAUUUAACUUUUAAGUGAAAAGGCUUAAAUAUACUGGUGGGACGAUAAGACCCUAUAAAACUUUAUAUUAAUUUAAAUUUAAUUUAAAUUAUUUAUAAAAUUUAAAAUUAAAUAUUUAUUUUGUUGGGGCGACAAGAGUAUAAUUUCUUUAACUGCUUAGAUAUAAAAUCAUAGAUAAAUGAAAUAAAGGUCCUUUAUAAAGAUUAGGAGAUUAAGUUACUUUAGGGAUAACAGCGUAAUUUUUUUUAAGAGUUCUUAUUGAAAAAAAAGUUUGCGACCUCGAUGUUGAAUUAUAAUAUCUAUAUAAUGCAGUCGUUAUAUAAGAAAGUCUGUUCGACUUUUAAUUUUUUACAUGAUUUGAGUUCAGACCGGUGUGAG
rnacentral:rRNA from 1 species